rnacentral:rRNA from 1 species
AUACGUAGGGGGCAAGCGUUGUCCGGAAUUACUGGGCGUAAAGAGCUCGUAGGCGGCUCAGCAAGUCGGUCGUGAAAGCCCGAGGCUCAACCUCGGAACUGCGGUCGAUACUGCUGUGGCUAGAGUCCGGUAGAGGAGAGUGGAAUUCCCGGUGUAGCGGUGGAAUGCGCAGAUAUCGGGAGGAACACCAGUGGCGAAGGCGGCUCUCUGGGCCGGUACUGACGCUGAGGAGCGAAAGCGUGGGGAGCAAACAGGAUUAGAUACCCCUGUAGUCC